rnacentral:misc_RNA from 1 species
CAAAGGACAGCCAAGGCUCUGACGGAUUGUAGGCGCACGGUUUCAGGUACUAUUUCACUCCCCGCCAGGGGUACUUUUCACCUUUCCCUCACGGUACUCGUCCGCUAUCGGUCAUCAAGGAGUAUUUAGGCUUAACGGGUGGUCCCGCCAGAUUCACACGGAAUUUCACGAGUUCCGUGAUACUCGGGUAUUCGCUCAACGGAGCCACCAACUUACGUCUACGGGGCUAUCACCCGCUCCGGCACCGCUUUCCAACGGACUUCAACUUCAUCGAUGGUUUCUCACUCCGCACCAGCACGGCAGCACUGGUCAAACAAACCCCACAACCCCACGCACGCAACCCCUG